rnacentral:rRNA from 1 species
UAGGGAAUAUUGGGCAAUGGACGGAAGUCUGACCCAGCCAUGCCGCGUGCAGGAAGAAGGCGCUCAGCGUUGUAAACUGCUUUUAUCGGGGAAGAACGGCAGUCCUGCGGGAUUGUGUGACGGUACUCGAGGAAUAAGCCACGGCUAACUACGUGCCAGCAGCCGCGGUAAUACGUAGGUGGCAAGCGUUGUCCGGAUUUAUUGGGUUUAAAGGGUGCGUAGGCGGUUUUAUAAGUCAGUGGUGAAAUCCGGCAGCUCAACUGUCGAUGUGCCAUUGAUACUGUAGAACUUGAGUACUGAUGAGGUAGGCGGAAUUGACGGUGUAGCGGUGAAAUGCUUAGAUAUCGCACAGAACGCCGAUUGCGUAGGCAGCUUGCCAAGCCCACACUGACGCUGAGGCACGAAAGCGUGGGGAUCAAACA